CCUGUCUGAACCCUGCCAGGUGUGUCUGCUGUGUCACAUGUGUGUCAGUAGAUGGCAGAGAGGAGAGAGGCAAUGGUUAUGUUCAGUGUUCUGACCUGUGAACAUCUGAAUGAUCAGUAGCCUAACAUU